AAAGUCGUAACAAGGUUUCCGUAGGUGAACCUGCGGAAGGAUCAUUACCGUGGGGCCCCGGCCCCGUCGAGAUAAUACCCUUGCCUUUGUGAGUACCGCCCGUUUCCUCGGCAGGCCCGCCUGCCAACGGGGACCCCCAACGCCCUGAAGCACCUGUGACCGCCUGAUAACACAAACAAAAAUCAAAACUUUCAACAACGGAUCUCUUGGUUCUG
rnacentral:misc_RNA from 1 species